AAUUCUCUCAACCACAAAUCAUGUGUUGUGGCUUGGAUAAUGGAGGGUGCAGGCUUUCAAGUCAAGCUCCUCUAAAAUAUAUGAGUGGGUGAUAUCUACCACAGAUGUGAUAAAUUAUCUACAUCUUGGUGGUAUACUGUAUUACACUGCUUCUAACCCCUCCUUUUUUGUUGACAU
rnacentral:misc_RNA from 1 species